AAGUUUCAACAACGGAUCUCUUGGCUCUCGCAUCGAUGAAGAACGCAGCGAAAUGCGAUAAGUAAUGUGAAUUGCAUCAUUCAAUGAAUCAUCAAAUCUUUGAACGCACCUUGCGCUCCUUGGUAUUCCUUGGAGCAUGCCUGUUUGAGUAUCAU
rnacentral:rRNA from 1 species